AUCGGAGCAAGCUGCAGCCUGGACACAAGCUAGAGAUUAAUCAGUCAGGAAUGAUCCUGCGUCCGAGAAAGCUCUGCAAACUCAAGCUGGAGUGGGAUACUUGCUGACAUCUUCAAGCACCCCAGGAAUAGCUCUACUCCCCCAUUUCCACCUUGGCUGAACCAUCUAUAUCCCACCAAUUCCCCCAACAUCCCUCCAUCCGUCCAUCCAUCCACCCAAGGACCUGCUAAGCCAGGAGGUCUCUCCCAUCUACCCCACAGCCUGGCCUCAGCCCACAAGGGCUCUCUCUACAUGAAUCCCACCGCACCAGAGUAGACCAAGUCUCCCGUAGACUCCACCCUGACCACCUCCAUGCCUCCAGCCAUUCCCACCCCUAAAAACCCUCCCUGGUCUCUACACCCAGCUGAUGAAUACUUGGCUGAAUGUGACCUGGCCUCCUGGACCCAGGUGAAGCCCACGUCCUCCGUAAGCCCGCCAGCUCACCCUGCGGAAACAUAUUUUGAAAAACACUGGCCUAGAGGCAGAAGUGAAAUGGAAAACACAAAAGUAAAACUGAACAGGAGGCACUGGGCAGAGAACGGUCAGAGGCGCCCUGAAUCCUGGACCGGUGGAGAUCCCCAGCUUGGCAUGCUCCCCUCCCUGGGCCCAGACCGCCUCCCCCCAUUUCCUGGA
rnacentral:lncRNA from 10 species